rnacentral:lncRNA from 1 species
AAGAUUACUUAAGAUUCAAAAAAACUGAAAGUUACAUUAAAAAGUAUAAGAAAAUUAUUUCUUAUUCCAGAGGCACGUUAGAAACAAUACAUCAUAAUGAAAGCCACACAUUUUAUAUUGAUGUAUUUAAGGCACAGUGAAUUCUAUAUGUGAUUUUACUUACUUACCUGGAUAACUCUUCCCCUAAACUCUGCAAACUCCAUUGAAAAAAUAUUUGAUAAAAUUCAACAUCUCUUCAUAAUAAAAACCCUCAAAACACUGGAUAUAGAAGAAACAUACCUCAACAUAA